CUGCUGCCUUCCGUAGGAGUCUGGGCCGUAUCUCAGUCCCAAUGUGGCCGGUCAACCUCUCAGUCCGGCUACUGAUCGUCGCCUAGGUGGGCCGUUACCCCGCCUACUAGCUAAUCAGACGCGAGGCCAUCUUCCAGCGAUAAAUCUUUGACAUUCAAACCAUGCGAUUCAAAUGUGUCAUGCGGUAUUAGCAGUCGUUUCCAACUGUUGUCCCCCUCUGGAAGGCAGGUUCCUCACGCGUUACUCA
rnacentral:rRNA from 1 species